rnacentral:rRNA from 1 species
CGGGGUGAGUAAUGCUUGGGAAUCUAGCUUAUGGAGGGGGAUAACUACGGGGAACUGUAGCUAAUACCGCGUAGUAUCGGAAGAUGAAAGUGUGGGACCUUCGGGCCACAUGCCAUAGGAUGAGCCCAAGUGGGAUUAGGUAGUUGGUGAGGUAAAGGCUCACCAAGCCGACGAUCUCUAGCUGGUCUGAGAGGAUGACCAGCCACACUGGGACUGAGACACGGCCCAG